rnacentral:rRNA from 1 species
GACGAACGCUGGCGGCGUGCUUAACACAUGCAAGUCGAACGGGAUGAUCUUAAAGCUUGCUUUUAGAGAAUCUAGUGGCAAACGGGUGAGUAACACGUAGACAACCUGCCGACAGGAUGGGGACAACAUUCCGAAAGGAAUGCUAAUACCGAAUGAAGUCAGAGGAGGGCAUCCUCCUCUGAUGAAAGGUGGCCUCUUUUUAUGCUAUCACCUGUUGAUGGGUCUGCGUCUGAUUAGCUAGUUGGUGAGGUAACGGCUCACCAAGGCGACGAUCAGUAGCCGGUCUGAGAGGAUGAACGGCCACAUUGGGACUGAGACACGGCCCAGACUCCUACGGGAGGCAGCAGUGGGGAAUCUUCCGCAAUGGGCGCAAGCCUGACGGAGCAACGCCGCGUGAGUGAAGAAGGUCUUCGGAUCGUAAAGCUCUGUUGACGGGGACGAACGUGCGGAGUGCGAAUAGCACUUNGUAANGACGGUAC